AUUGAACGCUGGCGGCAGGCCUAACACAUGCAAGUCGAACGAGUGGCGGACGGGUGAGUAAUGUCUGGGAAACUGCCUGAUGGAGGGGGAUAACUACUGGAAACGGUAGCUAAUACCGCAUACCAUCGGAUGUGCCCAGAUGGGAUUAGCUAGUAUGUGGGGUAAAGGCUCACCUAGGCGACGAUCCCUCGCUGGUCUGAGAGGAUGACCAGCAACAUUGGAACGGAGACAGGGCCCAGCCUCCCACGGGAGGCAGCAGUGGGGAAUAUUGCACAAUGGGCGCAAGCCUGAGGCAGCCAGGCGGCGUGUAUGAAGAAGGCCUUCGGGUUGUAAAUGACUUGCAGCGGGGAGGCGUUACCCGCAGAAGAAGCACCGGCUAACUCCGUCCCAGCAGCCGCGGUAAUUC
rnacentral:rRNA from 1 species